CAGCUUGGCAUUGGUGGGUGGCAGCUGAGGAGAGAGGUCACAAAAGUGGCUGUGCUUAUCUUAGAGAGUAUACAGCCUUGAUGCUGCAACCACUGAAUGAGGUGCAGCUUUAAGGCCACUGCAGGAAGCCUCCUGAAAGACAAGACCUACUCCAACAUGGUUCAAGGGCUGGAGGCCUGGUGGUGCAGGUUUCUGCUUCUGGCAGACAUCUGAUUAUCAGUUGCUGUCUACAUUCUGUUCUCAGUAGACUGCGAGCCAUGGAUGUGCUGUGGAUGUGAACCAGUCCAGCUGAUGUGGACACCCCCUGUCUCUGCAACAGAAUCUGCCAACCAGAAGCUCCUGAUGGAAUCUCCAUUGCCUAAAUUCCUUUUGUUUACUUUUGACUAGCAUUUCAACCUUCUGGGGUCCCUAACUUCGUCCAAAGUCAGCAGGAAUUAACAUGAGAAUGAAUACGUCACCCAUUUUCCUUGGUUAAAAUGCUAAGUCAAAAGGAAUUCCCUUACAUGGGCAGUGUCAAUAUCUCUCACUUCCUGAUGGGCACAAGAGAAGGACAGCAAUUCCAUGAUUGGAAUUUCCAAAAAAUAAAAUGGGGGAAUGAAGGCAUCAGCUCCCCAUUUCGGCAACCAUGACAGCCUGCCAUGAAUGCCAUGGCAGACAUGUAUGCUUGCCAUGACCCUGCCUUGGUCAAUAGAGGUAAGGUGCCUGCCUCGUGGCAAGGAACCAAUCAGAAUUUAGCUGGUGGUGCUAUGGUUUACGGCUCUGGGUGUGCCUUACAGACAAGUACACAGCAAUGGUGCCCAGAGCAUGGCAACCACCCUGGGAGGACCUAUGGGCCAUAACAACCAAUUGGCCAAUCAACACAUGGUAAACACUCCAAACCUUGAGGCACAACAAUCCUGAGCAUGUGCGUAUCCCUAGACACUCCCCGUACGCUGCCUUACAAGAUCUCUAUGCAGCCCCAUCCAGCUGUCUUUUGUAGCCAUCUGCCUUGGCGUGUGGAUGAAAGACACGAGUUAACAUGGGUUUAGCUUGCUAAACAACAAUAAAG
rnacentral:lncRNA from 1 species